GUGGGGAUGACGUCAAGUCCUCAUGGCCCUUAUGGUAGGGCUUCACACGUCAUACAAUGGUCGGUACAGAGGGUUGCCAACCCGCGAGGGGGAGCUAAUCCCACAAAGCCGAUCGUAGUCCGGAUCGCAGUCUGCAACUCGACUGCGUGAAGUCGGAAUCGCUAGUAAUCGUGGAUCAGCAUGUCACGGUGAAUACGUUCCCGGGUCUU
rnacentral:rRNA from 1 species